rnacentral:rRNA from 1 species
CACAAGCAGCGGAGCGUGUGGUUUAAUUCGUUGCUACACGAAGAACCUUACCUGGGUUUGACAUAGCAGUGGUAGGGAAGCGAAAGCGGACGACCCUUCGGGGAGCUGUUACAGGUGUUGCAUGGCUGUCGUCAGCUCGUGUCGUGAGAUGUUCGGUUAAGUCCGCUAACGAGCGCAACCCGCGUUGUGUGUUACAAGUGUCACACAAUACCGCCGGUAUUAAGUCGGAGGAAGGUGCGGAUGACGUCAAGUCAGCAUGACCUUUAUAUCCAGGGCUACACACACGCUACAAUGGUCAGCACAAUAGGUUGCCAAGUCGUGAGACGGAGCCAAUCCUCCAAAGCUGGCCUCAGUUCAGAUUGUAGGCUGCAACCCGCCUGCAUGAAGUUGGAGUUGCUAGUAACCGCAGGUCAGCUAUACUGCGGUGAAUACGUUCCCGGGGAUU